GCUAAAUACUCCUGACUGACCGAUAGUGAACCAGUACCGUGAGGGAAAGGCGAAAAGAACCCCGGCGAGGGGAGUGAAAAAGAACCUGAAACCGUGUACGUACAAGCAGUGGGAGCACGCUUAGGCGUGUGACUGCGUACCUUUUGUAUAAUGGGUCAGCGACUUAUAUUCUGUAGCAAGGUUAACCGAAUAGGGGAGCCGAAGGGAAACCGAGUCUUAACUGGGCGUUAAGUUGCAGGGUAUAGACCCGAAACCCGGUGAUCUAGCCAUGGGCAGGUUGAAGGUUGGGUAACACUAACUGGAGGACCGAACCGACUAAUGUUGAAAAAUUAGCGGAUGACUUGUGGCUGGGGGUGAAAGGCCAAUCAAACCGGGAGAUAGCUGGUUCUCCCCGAAAGCUAUUUAGGUAGCGCCUCGUGAAUUCAUCUCCGGGGGUAGAGCACUGUUUCGGCAAGGGGGUCAUCCCGACUUACCAACCCGAUGCAAACUGCGAAUACCGGAGAAUGUUAUCACGGGAGACACACGGCGGGUGCUAACGUCCGUCGUGAAGAGGGAAACAACCCAGACCGCCAGCUAAGGUCCCAAAGUCAUGGUUAAGUGGGAAACGAUGUGGGAAGGCCCAGACAGCCAGGAUGUUGGCUUAGAAGCAGCCAUCAUUUAAAGAAAGCGUAAUAGCUCACUGGUCGAGUCGGCCUGCGCGGAAGAUGUAACGGGGCUAAACCAUGCACCGAAGCUGCGGCAGCGACGCUUAUGCGUUGUUGGGUAGGGGAGCGUUCUGUAAGCCUGCGAAGGUGUGCUGUGAGGCAUGCUGGAGGUAUCAGAAGUGCGAAUGCUGACAUAAGUAACGAUAAAGCGGGUGAAAAGCCCGCUCGCCGGAAGACCAAGGGUUCCUGUCCAACGUUAAUCGGGGCAGGGUGAGUCGACCCCUAAGGCGAGGCCGAAAGGCGUAGUCGAUGGGAAACAGGUUAAUAUUCCUGUACUUGGUGUUACUGCGAAGGGGGGACGGAGAAGGCUAUGUUGGCCGGGCGACGGUUGUCCCGGUUUAAGCGUGUAGGCUGGUUUUCCAGGCAAAUCCGGAAAAUCAAGGCUGAGGCGUGAUGACGAGGCACUACGGUGCUGAAGCAACAAAUGCCCUGCUUCCAGGAAAAGCCUCUAAGCAUCAGGUAACAUCAAAUCGUACCCCAAACCGACACAGGUGGUCAGGUAGAGAAUACCAAGGCGCUUGAGAGAACUCGGGUGAAGGAACUAGGCAAAAUGGUGCCGUAACUUCGGGAGAAGGCACGCUGAUAUGUAGGUGAAGUCCCUCGCGGAUGGAGCUGAAAUCAGUCGAAGAUACCAGCUGGCUGCAACUGUUUAUUAAAAACACAGCACUGUGCAAACACGAAAGUGGACGUAUACGGUGUGACGCCUGCCCGGUGC
rnacentral:rRNA from 1 species